CCAUAGGGUAAGCCGGAGACCAGAGCCACACCUAAAAAGUAUAGCGAGUCCGCCUCGACUAGAUAUCCCUAAGCUUGGCGUUUCGAAACAAACAUAUAGGAUAAGCCAAGAGACGUCUUGCCCCGCAAAAUAUGUAUCGAAGCCGAGUUGCGUAUCACACAUGUUUUAUGAUAAACACAACCAAGCCACGCCUCGCACAUAAAAACAAAUAAUAUUAAUCAGUAAGCGACGUAAGAGCAAACCUCGUCAAACCUAGACCAACUAGAAACUAACACAAUCCAACUUACCACACGACAUUUUGACGUCUUCAACGUGAAACGCCCAUACUUCUUCAUCGGGUAGAGCCGAGUCUCUCUUUCGCCAUGCCGCACUGAGACUCUAUCGUCGCGUCGGCCUUUCCCAAACUUUUUUGCCGUGUGACCUUGAAACUCUCUUUCGCAUGCACCGUUCAAUACAACGGCACACACAUGGCAUUGGAUGGUGACAUACGCAUGGCACGGUAACAAAACCGGCCCUGCAACAACUCUAAUUCGUCAUGACACCAAAUUGAUGAAUCUAUGAAUAUGCCGCCUCGAAUCGGAGAAUCCACCUCGCCACGGUUGUGACACAUUGAUGUUAUCACAAAUUAACAAGGCUCUCGCCGUCGAACAAAUUCGACGUCUCCAGCAUGGAAAGUCCUUCUCAAACUCGCGGCACGAAAGCAUGCAACAAAUCCAACUCCUACUACAGCAUAAUAAUCUCCGGCUCGGCACCACGACACCAUCAUUGGCUCGACAGCCUGACGAUAAUUUUGCCACUCAUCACGAUCGACAACUCAAAUCAGGAAAAAGCCACAACAUCUCAUGACGCGACAGCUCUGUCUCACCUUGGGUCUCGGAACGAGCGGAUCAACACUUAGCGUAACUUGUGGCUUGGCACGUAAAGCACGACCCACGCCUCGCCACGGUAACGCCACUUUGGCGAAAUAUUGCCAUCCAAAAUAACAAGUCUCUCGCCGUCAACCAACUCGAAAAGAUCAUUGGCCCUGCACAGUGGGGCACGGUAGACAACCUGGAUCGGAACGGCGCCACCAAUCUCAAGACAACGACUUGACACGACAAUGCACGCACGUCAAGCCUACCUCGGCACGAUGACAAAUCAUCAAAUCAAACGGAUCGCAGCUAACUCGACCUCGUAGCACGACCUCUAGAUUUUUGCCCGGCAGGUAGCCAUCUUGUGCCUCAACACGACCAAUCUCCAAUUUUUAGCGCACGCAACCUUUUCCUUGGCACGGCAAAGAGUAGCUCGUGGACGUUGCAACACUUCCGUCGCACAACCAACAAAAAAAUAAAUAUAAAGAGAUAAGGGAGAAAGAAGAUUUUACCUUUGGAGAAGAAGCGAAAAUGAGUAUAAAGUGAGGAGAUAGCUGAUACGUUUACCAAGAAAAAUCAUGUUAGCCUAAUUCACUAAGUUAUAUGCAGCCAUCUCGCCUCGAAAAACGUAUUGAAGUCAUUAUUCUCUUGUAAAGUUCCCGCAAACCUCGAAAGAUGUGUCAAAGUCACUAUUCACCCAAGAAAGCUCCGUCUCAUCUCGAAAAACAUGCCCACGGCACUAUUCAUCCGAGAAAGCCUCAGCUCAUCUCAAAAAACAUUCCCACGGCACUAUUUACCUGAGCAAGCUCCGGCUCACCUUGAAAAAUGUGCCCACUGUACUAUUUAUCCAAAAAAGCUCCGGCUCGCCUCCAAAAACAUGUUCGAGGCAUCAAUUUUACCAGAGUAUCAAUGCACAUGCCCAUGCAGCCCCGACUAAUUCAUCCAAGUCAUCCUCUGUUUUACGCCCGACUAACAUAUCCCGCCGAGCUCAAUCAAACUCUCGCACAACAAACUAAGGGCGGGCGUAUUGUUGGACAUGGGCCUUGCCCCUUAUAUGUUAAGAGGCCCAAAACAGAUAUGCACAAGUUUAAAAGGGGCUUCAACUACUAAAAAUGCCCAUUAAGCUUGGAAGGGCAAAAAUGUAAUUUACAGAGGAGACAUAAGGGAUUUUAGGAUUUAGAUUCUCUAUAAAUACUCAGAAGCACUAUUGGGAAGGAGAGAAAUCCAGAGGAGAUUAGCUGAGAGACAAAGAGAAUCGUUGCCUUGCCCAGAAUCGUUGCCUUGUCCGAAAUCGUUGCCUUGCCCAGAAUUGUUGUUUUGUCCGAAAUCGUUGCCUAACACGACAUCGCCGCCUAGCCCGAAAUCGUCGCCUCGCCCAUUUCUGCACUUUGUCUUUCUGCUUUUACGAUUAAGUCUCGGCUCGGAGGAUAGUCUAUAACCCCCGCGACGAAACUAACUUGUUGUAAUCUCUCGAUCUUUGUUAUCGUUAAUAAAAAGAACCAGCUCCGUUCACCUCCCAAAAUCUCGUAUAUUAUUAUUGUUGCAUCCCCAGUACAAACAAUGUUUUUCUUGCUUCUUCUGCAACACAUAGUCUGCUAAACCUUGGUUUUUUGGACACAUUACCCUUCUCUGGUCAAUCAUCACUACCCACUUCAAA
rnacentral:sRNA from 1 species